GAUGAACGCUGGCGGCGUGCCUAAUACAUGCAAGUCGAGCGAACAGACGAGGAGCUUGCUCCUCUGACGUUAGCGGCGGACGGGUGAGUAACACGUGGAUAACCUACCUAUAAGACUGGGAUAACUUCGGGAAACCGGAGCUAAUACCGGAUAAUAUAUUGAACCGCAUGGUUCAAUAGUGAAAGACGGUUUUGCUGUCACUUAUAGAUGGAUCCGCGCCGCAUUAGCUAGUUGGUAAGGUAACGGCUUACCAAGGCAACGAUGCGUAGCCGACCUGAGAGGGGGGUUCGCCCCACUGGAACUGAGACACGGUCCCGACUCCUACGGGAGGCCGCAGUAGGGAAUCUUCCGCAAUGGGCGAAAGCUUGACGGAGCAACGCCGCGUGAGUGAUGAAGGUCUUCGGAUCGUAAAACUCUGUUAUUAGGGAAGAACAAAUGUGUAAGUAACUAUGCACGUCUUGACGGUACCUAAUCAGAAAGCCACGGCUAACUACGUG
rnacentral:rRNA from 1 species